ensembl:miRNA
UCUAGACUGGCAUAGCUGCUUUUGGAGCCUCACCUGCUGUGAGCUCACAGCUGUCCUUCUCUAGA